UGGUUACAAAAAACAAAAAAUAGAAAUUUCUGUAAAAUACUUUCAAAAUGCUACUUCUCCUACAGUAUUGGUUUAAAUACAGUAUAACUUGGCACACAAGUAGACAACACUAUGAUACUUAAUUCUAUUUAUUGCUGUUACAAAGUUUCAAUCCAAGUAUUACUUUUCUCUUCCUUUGUUAUAAGUACAACCCAGUAGAGCGACUGUGAGUCUCAUCAGAGACUUCUGGUUUUUGAGCAUCUUUUUUCUAGGAAGACUAAGUUUCUAGGAAGAUAUUGACCUUAAGUUGAGUUGACGCUUUUUCUCUUUGAAGAUUAAAGAUUUGGGGACAAUCAAGAAUUAAAGUGGCUGAAGUCAUGGAGACCCAAUCUCAGUUCACAGGGAAUACCACGGACUGCAAGGAAGGACAUUGGAACUGGCUUAUGUAUUCCAAUUUUGAUUGCAGUUGAUGAAAGAUGUCGUACUUAGGGAAACAUUAGAUGAAAUUACUUUGAAAUACCCCUAGUUUGUCAACUACUAGCCAAGAUCCUACAGGUUAGUUGAAUUGGAGAACAGAUGUACACACAGUAGAAAGGAUAUUACCUGAAAACAUCAAAUGACGGGGAAAAAAGAAGACUGCCUAUUUCAGAGAUAUAUAUUUUCACAGUAUCAUCACCCAUAGCACUACGAUCAAAAAUUAAAAAUGACAUUAAGGAAGAAAAAAAAUGAAGACACUGAUCAAAAAGAAAAGAAGUUGGAAGAGUUUCGAAUAUUAUGUCUGAAUAUUCUGUCAACAACACCAUAGAUCUGGAGAGGGAUUUUUUUGCCUAAUAAUUUAUAUUAAUGCAUGUACAUUUAUUUUUUAAUUCUUUUUUAUAUAUAAUGUUGCCUUUUUUUCAUCAAGUGUACAUGUUACUUUUUUAGCUCACCCAAACUUAAAGCUCAAGUGAGCUUUUCUGAUUGAAAAAUGUCUGGUUUCUGUCUGUCCAUCUGAUGUGUGUUGUCUGUUAACUUUUUACAUUUUUGAAUUCUUCUCUAGAAUCACUUGGACUAUUUCAACCAAACUUGCCUCAAAGCAUCCUUUAAUAAAAGGGGAAAAAGUUUGUUCAAACGAAGAGCCAUGCCCUCUUUUAAGGGGAGAUAAUUAAGAGUUCAUGAAAAUUUGAUGGAUUUUCUAAAGUCUUCUUUUCAAGAACAACUUGGCUGGAAAAUGUUAAUGUUAUGUGAAAGCUUCCUGAUUUAAGGGUGUUCAAAUCGUGUGUGGCCACAACAGGAGAUCACAGUUUUACACAUGGGAAUAUAUAGGAAAAAUAUUUAUUUUCUUCUUGUAAAGAAUAACAAGGUCAUGAUUAGUCAUAUUAAUAUGUUGUAAAUCAUCCUCAGAGCAGAUUUAAUUUUUCCAAAUAAUGGUCCCUGGGGGUAAAAUGGGACUACAACUUGUUGGCCCUCAGGAGUAGAAUAAGGCAACAAAGGGGAUCAAUAUUUCAAAGUGAAAUG